rnacentral:lncRNA from 1 species
AUGUAACAAUAAAUUACAACAAAUAUUAAAUGCAUAAAACUAAUUGAUCCAAAGAGAUAGAUACUCAUGUUAGAUCCAAAGAGAUAGAUACUCAUGUUAGAUACUCAUGUUAGAUUUUAAAAUGACAGAUUUUAAGAGAUAGAUACUCAUGUUAGAUUUUAAAAUGACAGUCAUUAAGCAAGAGAAUCAACUGUAUCUGUGGAAAUGUAGACACAACCUGGUAGUUGUCAAGUGGUAGUUAUUACUGUGCUUUUUUCCUGUAUUGAGUCAAUUAUUCAGAAUCAAAGCAAUAACCAAUAUCCUGGAGUCAGAGGUAGGCUUCCUAAGGUUUUACCUUCCAAUUAAUGAUUUUUUUCCAACAGAGACUUUGCUUAGCAAAGUUUUUUUUUUUUUGUUUUUUUUUUGUUUUUUUUUUGCUUUUUAGGGCCACAGGUGUGGCAUAUGGAAUUUCCCAGGCCAGGGGUUGAAUUGGAGCUGCAGCUGCCAGCCUGCACCACAGCCAUGGCAAUGCAGGAUCCAAGCUGCAUCUGUGACCUACAUCAGAGCUCACAGCAAUGCCGGAUCCUUAACCCGUUGAGUGAGGCCAGGGAUUAAACCCACAUCCUCAUGGCCACUAGUCGGGCUCACCACCACUGAGCCAUGAUGGGAUCUUCCAGCAAAGUCUUAACAUGACUUAGUGAUAGAAAGGAAAGCUCUCAGGAUAAUUUUCAAGAGAGUCUUCUAUUUGGAAAAAUGUCUGUCUUACUAAAAAUAUAACAAUGAAACCAUACCAAAUAUCAUAAUUUUGGAAAUAGAAUUUUGAUUAACUUGCUCAGAACGAAAUUUGUCAGAAAAGAGCUGUCAGCUGUGAUACAAUGGUGCUGAAAAUGUCUGUAGAGUCACAGAGAAAUUCACUCUCACAUUUUGCAGAAAAGUUGAUUAAUUCCUCGUGAAGAACAGAGAAACAAUGAUUCGCACUGCUGGCAACAACAAUGGCAUGAUGCAACACCCUGGCUACCGGCAGGUGUGGUCGGUAAUGGAUGGGACUGAAUUUGGAGCCAUCUCAAAGGUUUACUUUGGACCCUCUCUGAUGUUUCAAAGCUCUUGGUUUUGGCAAGCCUGUCAUUUGCCAGUUGUCAAAUAAGUUGAGUCAUUAGUCUGGCCUUGUCAUCUGGGAGCCUCCACAUGAUUGAUAUGGCUCUGCUACCCUUCCCAAUGGGAUAAUUAAGUGUCCACUAAGCCCUAUCUACCUGGUUUUAUAAAAGUAAAAGUAAAAUCCAGACAGAUAUGCCAUUCCUUUUUCUAUGUGUAAAAGCAGCAAGCUGGGAAAAUGCAUCUGAAGAAGCUAUUUCCUUUUAAUAUUCAGUCUCAAAAGGACAAAUUUCCUGUUGGCAAAAUCAAACCUUGCAAUUUUUUUUCGGACUAACCAAAUAAUCUCCUCCAUUUGUCCAUUUUGCAGAGUGGUUUUGUAUACAUUUUUCUUUCUUCACAGCAAUCCCGUGAAAAGGACAAGCAUUAUUGUCCUCAUGUUACAGAUAAAUAUCCUGAAACUCAAAUCAUUUUAAGGUCAUAUUCAGUUCCUCUGACUAUUCUAAUCAUCUCCUGCCGUAUCAGGCUGUUAAACAUCCUGUUAUACAUAAAGGAUGUCAGAAUAUUGCAUCUUCCUCUGUGCUGUUCUCCCAUCUGGGGUUUAUUUCUAGAGUAUAUAGUUUUAGACAAACUUGUUUGCCAAAAUACUGGGAUCCUUUAGGGGAACCUCUUGGGAAGGGGGCUAAGCAAGUCUGGGUCAUCCCUUUCCAGAAUAGAGAACUUACUUCCGAGGCGGGGCAACAAACAGCGUAAAUUGCAGAGUAGGAUGGAAAGUGAUAACUCAAUCCCCAAAUUGAUGAGAAAUCUAUGAGGCGUUCUCUACUUGCCUACACAAAUGGUUCCUUUCAAAGGCAAGUUGCUUAUUGUCUCCAAUAUAAUGUGGCUUUUGGACAGUGUCCAGUCAGCAAAGUAGAAACUCAUAUUUGGCAAGGUGAACCCAGCCAUGGUUUCCUGGCGUGCUGAAUCAAUAGGAAAUGACUUUGGAAAAAUACAGCAACGACAGCAAUAAAUGGCUUUGAACUUUUUCA